rnacentral:rRNA from 1 species
AGUCGAACGGAAGUCGUUACGAAAUGGAAUGAAGAUUUAUCUGAUUGAAGUUUUGUAACAAUGGCUUUAGUGGCGGACUGGUGAGUAACACGUAAGCAAUCUACCUAUUAGAGGGGAAUAACAAUGAGAAAUCAUUGCUAAUACCGCAUAAGCUUGUAGUACCGCAUGGUACAGCAAGAAAAGGAGCAAUCCGCUAAUAGAUGAGCUUGCGGCUGAUUAGCUAGUUGGUGUGGUAACGGCAUACCAAGGCAACGAUCAGUAGCCGGGCUGAGAGGCUCUUCGGCCACAUUGGGACUGAGAUACGGCCCAGACUCCUACGGGAGGCAGCAGUCGGGAAUUUUGCGCAAUGGAGGAAACUCUGACGCAGUGACGCCGCGUAUAGGAAGAAGGUUUUCGGAUUGUAAACUAUUUUAGUCAGGGAAGAAAAAUGACAGUACCUGAAGAAUAAGCUCCGGCUAACUACGUGCCAGCAGCCGCGGUAAUACGUAGGGAGCAAGCGUUAUCCGGAUUUAUUGGGUGUAAAGGGUGCGUAGACGGGAAGACAAGUUGGUUGUGAAAGCCCUCGGCUCAGCUGAGGAACUGCAACCAAAACUAUCAUUCUUGAGUGCGGGAGAGGAAAGUGGAAUUCCUAGUGUAGCGGUGAAAUGCGUAGAUAUUAGGAGGAACACCAGUGGCGAAGGCGACUUUCUGGACCGUAACUGACGUUGAGGCACGAAAGUGUG